UGAGGGGGUGGAGAGGCGGGGAGCGGGAGCCGGGCGCGCUGUCUCUCCCACCGGAGGAGGGUCUCCACCACCACGUCUCCGCGGACGGUGGAACAAGUCUUGGCCAAGUUGCGCGUUGGCCGCCGAGGCUCCCAGGACCCCGGAGCAACUUGAAGGGUCUCCUGGCUCGUUGACAAUAUCCCUACGCAUCUGGACUGUGGGGCGCUGGGUGCAGCCCGGGGGCGCGUGGAGGGCGGACUGAACCUUUGGGAGAACCGAGCGGCAGAAAUGUAGGUUCCUCGGCUCGAGAGAACUGGCUUCUUGAAGCACUGCCGUCCUACAGUGUGUAAUGGAAAUUGACCUAGGCAAGAAGAGCGUCCCAAUGGUUUUUUCCUUGCAUUUCUUGGGAGCCAGUUUUCUGGAAAAACAACACAUGAUUGGUGAAUGCUCAUUUGAGAAGAAGAAUACUCAAUAUUGGAUAUCAUGAGAGAAGAAUAAGAACUUAGUAUGCCCUUCUGAAUAUUGUCAGCGAUGUCAGCUUGUGAGAACAGUCAGCCUCUCACAGACAAGUUAUAUCAAAGACUAUUCAGCAUCCAAGAACAUGUGGAGGCUCUGUCGUAGAGAACCGGGAUCUCAGGAACAUGGAGACCCAAAUCUUACUGCCGCAAACCACUACUCUCAUGUCAUAACUACACAUGUAAAUGAGACCAAUCCUGAAUUAAAUAAUGAGUUUUUUAAAGAAUUAACUUGGGAAAUGUCAAGUCUCAAUCCUUUUCCAUUGGAUGAAAUGAGUAUAUUUUCCUGGGUUGGAAUUGUGUAUUCUCAUAAUGUUCUUGAAAGCAUAAAAUUGGAACAUUUAAAAAAAA